UCCAACCGUCUUUGUCGGUUUAAUGUGAAUGAAACAAAACCACCUCACCUCAAAAAUCUCUCUAUGCCUCGUCAGUUCUCAAACCCCAAAAGGAAAAACCCUCAAACCCCAUUUUUCUCGCACCUGCCCGUCUCUUUCUUUCGCUCCCCUCGCCGGUAAUUGUCGAAGCUCGCCGGAGCUCUAUUGUUGGUCGUUCGUGCCGACUCAUCUCUCUCCUCUGUUCGUAUUCUGCCACCGCGGUGCUGCUCGCGAGCCACCGCGGUGCUGUUGCUAUUGCCCAUGUGUUUCUCUCUCCUCCUGCACGCUAUAACCACCGGAGUCGCGUCGUGUUGCUCGCCGGUGACUGAGCACCUCUUCUCUCUCUCCAUCGCGCGCUGUUGUUGCGGCGAUGCUGCUUGUUGAUGUUGCGGUUGUUGCUGUGGUUGAUGUAAUGCUGCCGCCGUCGGUAUUGUCUGCCCUACCGUCGUCGCAGUCUCGAUUUGCUGGAUGAUGAGAAUGCGAAGGCUAUAUCUUUAUUCAACAAUGUGGUAAAUCUCAAUGAUGCUAUUGAAGAUCCAGUGAAACAUUUAGAGCAUCUCGUUAGAGGAAUCUUUGCUGAAAAUAUAUUUGACCUUGGCUCUGCACAGCUUGCAGAGGUAUUCUCAAAGGAUGGGAUGUCCUUUCUGGCCAGAACCUUGUCCCUCGACCCUUGGUUAUUGAUGACCUUGAGACUUUCAAAUUGCAGUGGAUAUAAGAAGUCCUGGCAAAAGGUGAUUACUUUGUGGCUAAGUAGAUGACAGUGAUGGAUCCAAAAUAUCAUCGUAGGAAUUUUACCAUUUGCAAAGGAAUUACUGCGUCGUGGUACACAGGAAUUUUACCAGUUGCAGGGGCGGUGGUGAGCUGUUGCCUGAAUCAGCAAAUCCAAACACUUCUUGCAGGUGUGAUGAUGGAUGCUGUAAAAUCAUGUACCUUUGGCCUUACAAUUCUCUUUUCUUUUUUCCUUCUUUUGUAGCAAGGGUUUACCUUUGGCCUUACAAUUUUUGGAAUCUUCUAACAUUAUAUU